GGUGGGGCCUCGAUGACGAUGACCUCAUUGUCCGUAAGGGUGGCUGUGGGUCUCGAGAUGGCAAUCGUGACGUCGGUGGUAGAAGGUGGUGGUGAAGACCACUCUGGUGGUGGUCGGGGUGGCAACGGAGGCUGCAUACUCCUCAUCUGAAGAGGAGAUCAUUUUCUCGACUUCUUCGAUGGUCGAGAAGGACCCCCAGGCCCGAACGUCAUCUUCUUCUUCAUUUUGAUGGC
rnacentral:lncRNA from 1 species